UUGAAGACCAUCCCACUCGUCUGGCCUUUUGCGGUUUGGGGGCUGGACAUGGUCGGCCCUUUGAGAACAGGACGAAGUGGCUUCACACAUGUACUGGUGGCAGUCGACAAGUUCACCAAGUGGAUCGAGGCUAAGCCAAUCAAGAGCCUCGACACCGGUACUGCUGUUAGCUUCAUCAGGGAACUAAUAUUCAGAUAUGGAGUCCCGCACAGCAUCAUUACGGAUAAUGGGUCAAACUUUGACUCAGAGGAAUUCAGAACCUUCUGCAACUCCCAGGGCACACGGGUCGACUACGCAUCAGUCGCCCAUCCGCAGUCGAAUGGACAAGCAGAGCGAGCUAAUGGACUAAUUCUCAAGGGACUAAAGCCGCGACUGAUGCGUGAUCUCAAACACGCGGCUGGAGCUUGGGUCGACGAACUUCCA
rnacentral:rRNA from 1 species